rnacentral:rRNA from 1 species
UACAGAGGGUGCGAGCGUUGUCCGGAAUCACUGGGCGUAAAGGGCGCGUAGGUGGUGACCUAAGCGUGCGGUGAAAGCCCGAGGCUCAACCUCGGGUCGGCCGUGCGAACUGGGUCACUGGAGCAGAAUAGAGGCAGGUGGAAUUCCGGGUGUAGCGGUGGAAUGCGUAGAGAUCCGGAAGAACACCGGUGGCGAAGGCGGUCUGCUGGGCAGUAGCUGACGCUGAUGCGCGACAGCGUGGGGAGCAAACAGG